ensembl:lncRNA
CAGCCAGUGAAGCCACUAGAUGCAUUGUGUGGACACAGUAAGAUCUCAAUGUGUUACAACUUCACUCUUAGAGAAAAAGAGGAAAGUCGUAUGAGAGGACAGAAGGGCAAGAUGAAAGAAGAUAUUAAGAGAGUGAAACCAGGAUCAAAGAAAGCGAGGCCCGGCUGAAAUCCACCGUAAACAGACUGAAGGAGAGCGAACAGUUGCUGAACUACACUAUAAAGAGGCUGAAAGACAACGAAGCCAUGCUGAGUGACAAUGUAGCCAAACUGGAAGAAAGUGAAAUCAGACUGAAAGCCAGCGAAGACAAACUGAGUGACGUUGAACCCAAGCUGGAGGAAAAUGAAACCUGGCUAAAGAACACUGAGGCACUGUUGGAGAAAACUGAGACCUUGUUGGAAAACAGCAAAACCAAGAUGGAAGAGAAUGAAGAUUUUAUGAAAUACGCCGUGACCAAGGUGAAAGAGAGUGAAGCCUUCGUGGAACAAACCGUAACCAGGCUGAAACAGAGCGAAGUCUCGCUAACGUCACUUUAACCAGGCUGAAAAACAGUGAAUCCAAGCUGAAGAGCAGAGAGGUCUGGCUGAGUAAGACUGAAAGUAAGCUGGUACAAAAUGACAAGAAGCUGCAGAGCAGUGAAGACAAACUGACACGCACUGAAACCAGGUUGAAGACCAGUGAAUCUAAGCUGGAAGAAAGCGAAACCAGGCUGAAGAAAACCGAAUCCAGGCUCACUGACAGUGAAAAGAGGCUGAAGAAAACCGAAACCAGGCUGCAGGCAACUGAAACUGUGCUGAGUGACACUGAGACCAAGCUGAAAGAGAGUGAAACCAGACUGAAGGAGACUGAAGACAAGCUAACAGAAGCUGAAUCCAGACUGACUGUAAGUGAAAGCAAGUUACAGAAUACAGAAGAAAGACUGAAGGCCACGGAAACCAUCCUCAGUAGCACUGAAAAGAGGCUACAAGAAAGUCAGACAAAGCUGAAGACAAUUGAAACCUUCUUGAGCGAAACAGAAGUCAAGCAUAAAAGCACUGAAACCAGGCUGAAGCAGACAGAAACUUUAUUGAGUGCCAGUGAAUCCAAGCUGACGAAGACUGAAGCCUGGCUGAAGACCAGUGAAACCAGGGUGCAAAAAGCUGAAAUCAAGCUGAAGGACACCGAAGCAAGGCUGAAGUACACCGACAGCUGGCUGAAUGCCAGUGAAACUCGGCUGAAACUGAGUGAAUCCCAGCUGAAGAACUUUGAAGUAAGACUGAAGGAGAGUGAGAGUAUGAUGAAGAGCACGGACACCAGGCUGAGGGAGACCGAAAACAAGCUGGUAAUGACUAAAACCAGGCUGAUAACUGCUGAAACACAUGCUGAAAGUCUGCUGAAGACCUUUGAAACAAACCUGAGGCAAAGUGAGACCAGGCUGCAAAGAAGUGAAACUGUGAUAAGAGAAGUGGAAACCGGCGUGAAGGAGAGUGGAACUUGGUGAAAUAUCACCAUCAACAGGAAAGGCGUUAAGACCCACAGCUCAGUGCAGUACGGAGAAAGCUCCAAGGUAAUAUUCAGUGCAGCACUCGGAGCAGGAGGCCAAGCAGUUGGAGUCUACGACACUGACACAACCUUGAUCUACAGAAAAGUGUUCACAGACAUCGGUAAAGCCUACAAUCCGUCCACAGGUGUCUUUAAAGCACCGGUUUCAGGUAUUUAUUACUUCACCUUCUUCUAUCAUGCUGGAGGAGAAGAAGACUCUCUACAAGUAUGACGAGGCCAUCGUCGGGGCAUACGAUCACGAUUCAGAUAAUGACACAACUGAUAAUGGAGGAAAUGCAGUGUUCCUGCAGCUGCAGUACGGAGACCAUGUGUAUGUGACCCUGGGUGCACACUCACAUGUUUGGGGAUGUGACAUGCUGACACCUUUCAGUGGUUCCUUGGUCACUGAGCUGUAAGAAGCAAUCAAUGUAUGUGUAAUAUGUAUGUGACACUAAAAAGGUAAAGCUAAUUUAAAGUUAAGUGUAUUAGAUGGAAUCGGCUUCUCUUGAGCUCAGAUGUGCCUCAGCAACUCCUUCACGUUUGCAUUUUAUCUGAGUGUUUUGAUUUUUUCUGAUUUGAUUUAAGUUCACCACUUUGUGUUUUCUGUGCUAUAUCACUCUAAUGUUUUUCUUUGGAUAUGUAAACACA